rnacentral:rRNA from 1 species
CUACGGGGGGCAGCAGUGGGGAAUAUUGCACAAUGGAGGAAACUCUGAUGCAGCAACGCCGCGUGGAGGAUGACACUUUUCGGAGCGUAAACUCCUUUUAUAUAGGAAGAAGAUGGCGGUACUAUAUGAAUAAGCGCCGGCUAACUCCGUGCCAGCAGCCGCUGUAAUACGGAGGGCGCAAGCGUUACUCGGAAUCACUGGGCGUAAAGAGCGUGUAGGCGGAUUAAAAAGUCAGAAGUGAAAUCCUAUAGCUUAACUAUAGAACUGCUUCUGAAACUCUUAAUCUAGAAUAUGGGAGAGGUAGAUGGAAUUUCUGGUGUAGGGGUAAAAUACGUAGAGAUCAGAAGGAAUACCGAUGGCGAAGGCGAUCUACUAGAACAUUAUUGACGCUGAGACGCGAAAGCGUGGGGAGCAAACAGGAUUAGAUACCCUGGUAGUC